AUUGAACGCUGGCGGCAUGCCUUACACAUGCAAGUCGAACGGUAACAGGCCUUCGGAUGCUGACGAGUGGCGAACGGGUGAGUAAUGCAUCGGAACGUGCCCAGUUGCGGGGGAUAACUGCUCGAAAGAGCAGCUAAUCACGCAUACGACCUGAGGGUGAAAGCGGGGGAUCGCAAGACCUCGCGCAAUUGGAGCGGCUGAUGUCAGAUUAGGUAGUUGGUGGGGUAAAGGCCUACCAAGCCGACGAUCUGUAGUUGGUCUGAGAGGACGACCAGCCACACUGGGACUGAGACACGGCCCAGACUCCUACGGGAGGCAGCAGUGGGGAAUUUUGGACAAUGGGCGCAAGCCUGAUCCAGCAAUGCCGCGUGCAGGAAGAAGGCCUUCGGGUUGUAAACUGCUUUUGUCAGGGAAGAAAUCCUCUGGGUUAAUACCCCGGGGGGAUGACGGUACCUGAAGAAUAAGCACCGGCUAACUACGUGCCAGCAGCCGCGGUAAAAC
rnacentral:rRNA from 1 species